rnacentral:rRNA from 1 species
AACGAACGCUGGCGGCAGGCCUAACACAUGCAAGUCGAGCGGAUGAGGGGAGCUUGCUCUCUGAUUCAGCGGCGGACGGGUGAGUAAUGGAUAGGAAUCUGCCUGGUCGUGGGGGACAACGGUUCGAAAGGAACGCUAAUACCGCAUACGUCCUACGGGAGAAAGUGGGGGAUCGUCGGACCUCACACUAUCAGAUGAGCAUAGGUACGAUUAGCUAGUUGUGGAGGUAAAGGCUCAGCAAGGCGACGAUCGUUAACUGGUCUGAGAGGAUGCUCAGUCACACUGGAACUGAGACACGGUCCAGACUCCUACGGGAGGCAGCAGUGGGGAAUAUUGGACAAUGGGCGAAAGCCUGAUCCAGCCAUGCCGCGUGUGUGAAGAAGGUCUUCGGAUUGUAAAGCACUUUAAGUUGGGAGGAAGGGCAGUAAGCUAAUACCUUGCUGUUUUGACGUUACCGACAGAAUAAGCACCGGCUAACUCUGUGCCAGCAGCCGCAGUAAUAC